GUUUAUUUGAUAGUACCUUACUACAUGGAUACCUGUGGUAAUUCUAGAGCUAAUACAUGCUAAAAACCUCGACUUCGGAAGGGGUGUAUUUAUUAGAUAAAAAACCAAUGCCCUUCGGGGCUCCUUGGUGAAUCAUAAUAACUUAACGAAUCGCAUGGCCUUGCGCCGGCGAUGGUUCAUUCAAAUUUCUGCCCUAUCAACUUUCGAUGGUAGGAUAGUGGCCUACCAUGGUGGCAACGGGUAACGGGGAAUUAGGGUUCGAUUCCGGAGAGGGAGCCUGAGAAACGGCUACCACAUCCAAGGAAGGCAGCAGGCGCGCAAAUUACCCAAUCCCGACACGGGGAGGUAGUGACAAUAAAUACUGAUACGGGGCUCUUUUGGGUCUCGUAAUUGGAAUGAGUACAAUUUAAAUCCCUUAACGAGGAACAAUUGGAGGGCAAGUCUGGUGCCAGCAGCCGCGGUAAUUCCAGCUCCAAUAGCGUAUAUUAAAGUUGUUGCAGUUAAAAAGCUCGUAGUUGAACCUUGGGUCUGGCUGGCCGGUCCGCCUCACCGCGAGUACUGGUCCGGCUGGACCUUUCCUUCUGGGGAACCCCAUGGCCUUCACUGGCUGUGGGGGGAACCAGGACUUUUACUGUGAAAAAAUUAGAGUGUUCAAAGCAGGCCUUUGCUCGAAUACAUUAGCAUGGAAUAAUAGAAUAGGACGUGCGGUUCUAUUUUGUUGGUUUCUAGGACCGCCGUAAUGAUUAAUAGGGAUAGUCGGGGGCGUCAGUAUUCAGCUGUCAGAGGUGAAAUUCUUGGA
rnacentral:rRNA from 2 species